AACGUACGCUGGCGGCACGCCUAACACAUGCAAGUCGAACGAAGUAGCAAUACUUAGUGGCAGACGGGUGAGUAACAUGUAGGUAUCUGCCCUUUGGCCUGGAAUAACACGAGGAAACUUGUGCUAAUACCGGAUAAGUCUUUACGGAGAAAGCUUUAUGCACCAUUGGAUGAGCCUGCACUUGAUUAGUUUGUUGGUGGGGUAAUGGCCUACCAAGACUGUGAUCAAUAGCUGAUUUGAGAGGAUGAUCGGCCACAUUGGGACUGAGACACGGCCCAAACUCCUACGGGAGGCAGCAGUGGGGAAUCUUGCACAAUGGAGGAAACUCUGAUGCAGCGAUGCCGCGUGAGUGAAGAAGGCCCUUGGGUUGUAAAGCUCUUUCGUCGGGGAAGAAAAUGACUGUACCCGAAUAAGAAGGUCCGGCUAACUUCGUGCCAGCAGCCGCGGUAAUACGAAGGGACCUAGCGUAGUUCGGAAUUACUGGGCUUAAAGAGUUCGUAGGUGGUUGAAAAAGUUAGUGGUGAAAUCCCAGAGCUUAACUCUGGAACUGCCAUUAAAACUUUUCAGCUAGAGUAUGAUAGAGGAAAGCAGAAUUUCUAGUGUAGAGGUGAAAUUCGUAGAUAUUAGAAAGAAUACCAAUUGCGAAGGCAGCUUUCUGGAUCAUUACUGGCACUGAGGAACGAAAGCAUGGGUAGCGAAGAGGAUUAGAUACCCUCGUAGUCCAUGCCGUAAACGAUGUGUGUUAGACGUUGGAAAUUUAUUUUCAGUGUCGCAGGGAAACCGAUAAACACACCGCCUGGGGAGUACGACCGCAAGGUUAAAACUCAAAUGAAUUGACGGGGACCCGCACAAGUAGUGGAGCAUGUGGUUUAAUUCGAAGAUACGCGCAGAACCUUACCAACACUUGACAUGUUCGUCGCGACUCUAAGAGAUUAGAGUUUUCGGUUCGGCCGGACGAAACACAGGUGCUGCAUGGCUGUCGUCAGCUCGUGUCGUGAGAUGUUGGGUUAAGUCCCGCAACGAGCGCAACCCUCACUUUUAGUUGCCAUCAUUAAGUUGGGCACUCUGAAAGAACUGCCAGUGAUAAGCUGGAGGAAGGUGGGGAUGACGUCAAGUCCUCAUGGCCCUUACGUGUUGGGCUACACACGUGCUACAAUGGUAUCUACAACAGGAAGCAAGACUGCGAAGUUAAGCAAAUCCCUAAAAGAUACCUCAGUUCGGAUUGCACUCUGCAACUCGAGUGCAUGAAGCUGGAAUUACUAGUAAUCGUGGAAUCAGCGUGCCACGGUAAAUGCGUUCCCGGGUCU
rnacentral:rRNA from 1 species